UACGUAGGGGGCAAGCGUUGUCCGGAUUUAUUGGGCGUAAAGAGCGUGUAGGCGGUUUGGUAGGUCCGUUGUGAAAACUCGAGGCUCAACCUCGAGACGCCGAUGGAAACCAUCAGACUAGAGUCCGGAAGAGGAGAGUGGAAUUCCUGGUGUAGCGGUGAAAUGCGCAGAUAUCAGGAGGAACACCAAUGGCGAAGGCAGCACUCUGGGACGGUACUGACGCUGAGACGCGAAAGCGUGGGGAGCAAACAGG
rnacentral:rRNA from 1 species